GUGCUCACUUUGGCAGCACAUAUACUAAAAUUGGAACGAUACAGAGAUUAGUGUGGCCCCUGCUCAAGGAUGACAUGCAAAUUCAUAGCAUUCCAUAUUUUU
ensembl:snRNA U6 U6 spliceosomal RNA